CAGCAGCUUCUAUGAUAGUUUUUGUUAUUUCGGUUGUAAAUUGUUCAACGUUAUUUAAGUUAAUUACGGAAUCCCAAUUUUUUUCAGAUAAAAUGUUACGAUAUCUGUCAUAAUCUCCUCGAUCAUAUAGCCAAAUUUUCCGCUUAAAAGUUUUUUGACGACAUUUUGGAAAGUUCAAAAGACUAAUUAUAGGACAGUGAAAACGUAUUUGGUCUAAUAAAG
rnacentral:lncRNA from 1 species